rnacentral:misc_RNA from 1 species
GAUGAAGAACGCAGCGAAAUGCGAUAAGUAAUGUGAAUUGCAGAAUUCCGUGAAUCAUCGAAUCUUUGAACGCACAUUGCGCCCCCUGGUAUUCCGGGGGGCAUGCCUGUCCGAGCGUCAUUGCUGCCCUCAAGCACGGCUUGUGUGUUGGGCCCCCGCCCCCCGGCUUCGGGGGGCGGGCCCGAAAGGCAGCGGCGGCACCGCGUCCGGUCCUCGAGCGUAUGGGGCUUCGUCACCCGCUCUGUAGGCCCGGCCGGCGCCCGCCGGCGACCCCAAUCAAUCUUUCCAGGUUGACCUCGGAUCAGGUAGGGAUACCCGCUGAACUUAAGCAUAUCAAUAAGCGGAGG